rnacentral:rRNA from 1 species
GAUGAACGCUGGCGGCGUGCCUAAUACAUGCAAGUCGAGCGAACGGACGAGAAGCUUGCUUUUCUGAUGUUAGCGGCGGACGGGUGAGUAACACGUGGAUAACCUACCUAUAAGACUGGGAUAACUUCGGGAAACCGGAGCUAAUACCGGAUAAUAUUUUGAACCGCAUGGUUCAAAAGUGAAAGACGGUCUUGCUGUCACUUAUAGAUGGAUCCGCGCUGCAUUAGCUAGUUGGUAAGGUAACGGCUUACCAGGGCAACGAUGCAUAGCCGACCUGAGAGGGUGAUCGGCCACACUGGAACUGAGACACGGUCCAGACUCCUACGGGAGGCAGCAGUAGGGAAUCUUCCGCAAUGGGCGAAAGCCUGACGGAGCAACGCCGCGUGAGUGAUGAAGGUCUUCGGAUCGUAAAACUCUGUUAUUAGGGAAGAACAUAUGUGUAAGUAACUGUGCACAUCUUGACGGUACCUAAUCAGAAAGCCACGGCUAACUACGUG